AUUAGGGUUGAGAACCAGGGCCCCGCAGCCCACCUGGAUGGCAGGGAGUGUUGGGUCGCUGCCUACGGCCCUCACAACCACCCUGAGAAAGAUGGACUCUUGACAAUGCCCAGUUUACAGCCGAGUAAACUGAGGCCCUCAGAAGUCACACAGAAGUCAGAAGUCCUCAGAGGCCCUCAGAAGUCACACAGUGGCCCAGGGCUCCUGGAGCAUAUUUGGUGUGUUUCCUUCCCACACUGCUGCCCCCCUCAACCCUAUGGUGCAUAAACUUUGAGCAAAUGGAGGUUUAUGGCUGAGGGAACACAAGGCUUCCCCAGGCUGUGUUGAGGAGACACUGCCUUGCAGAAGUCUUCCCUGCCCCAGGCUCGCUGGGGCCAUUUCCCAUCUGGCAGUAGCCCAGUAUGUGUCCCCCCAGGAGCCCCUUGACCCACUGACAAGUUCAGUAUCUUUCUGAAAUGAUCCAGAGUGGAACCUUGAGGAUCUGUAGAUCCCUGGGGCUGGGAGCGUGUUGGGGGAUGUUCCCUGGGUUCUGAGCUGUAACCCCUGAGCCUGACCUCUUGGGGUCCUUGGGCCAACAGCCCCUGGCUCACUGGGGUCAUCAGGGAGUUCAACAGAUGGGUCAGAGGAAGCUUUUACCGACCCAGCCUCAGGGAGCAGCCUGGGAGCUCUCACUCCCAGCCAAGCCUCCCCCACCCCAGCCCUGGCUCUUGGGGGCAGGCAAGACAGAUAGCCCUUUCCUUAGGACUGGAGCCCAACCAGUGGCAGAUGGAAAAAAGGAUGAGCCACAGGUUCUGAUCAGGUGCUGGAACAAACCACCCUUCUUAAGUGAGUCCCCCACGAACUUAGAAUUUGAGACUCACUCAUUGGCCAGGCUCAAUGGCCUCUGUUCUGCUAUCAAGAGGCUGCUGGGAUGUUACCCAUGGCAGGGAUAGAUGGGGAAGUCACCAUAUUCAAAACAAUCAUGUGUUGAAACACCUCCCCAGCUUCUGAUCUACCGGUAGUGGCAGCGGAAGCAAAUACAGCAAAUCUGAAACCCGAUGCCUACAGAACAGGGGUGUGAAAUGUGACGCCAGAGGCCCCCACACAGAAGUGGGUGUGGACAGCCACCUGCCUGUGAGCAACCAGGGGAAGCUAGCUUGGUGCCGAG
rnacentral:lncRNA from 1 species